CUGUGAAUGCUGGUCCUUGGACCCUGUGCAACAUGGCUGCCCUGUCAACAAUUCUAAGGGGUAGAUAUUCUCAUACUCUUCAUUUUAUAGAAGAGGAAACUGAGGCACAGAAAGGCUAAUUAACUUCCCCACACUAGCUCCGCUAGUGAGCGAUCACACGGCUAGUGGGUGGAACCAGUACUGAAACCCGGGCUGUCUGACUUCAUGGUCUGUUCUCUUAUCUGUAAUCGAGGAGGGGAUGACAAAGAAGGCAAAGUAAAAGCUGGGCAUCUUGACAAAGAUUUCAGAACCAGCAGAGGCAUUGUGAUGACAUAAAAGGAGCACUGGCCAAAAGGGAGUUACCUACAGGAGAGUCUACAUAAAUGACUGCUGCAGCUCCAGACAUCACAUCUAUAUUCAAGGCACAAAGAAGAAGAAAGUGGACCCAGCGUUGGAAUUGGGAAGACGAAUUGGGAAGACAAGCUGGAGCUCCCUCUAGAGGUGACACGAUGCAAUCCAGUCGUCGUCAAAUGGUACCGCGGUACCAGGCAAGGGAGGCAGCACUUCCCCUCCCCACCCCUAAAUGGCAGUGAAGGGCAGACCAGCGAUCAGCCCUAAGUCUUUGCCUUAAAGAUCACACGUUAAUGUGCACCGAGGAAUUAUCAUGUCCACUCCCACAGUCCCUGAGUGUUGCUAAGGCAUUUCAUUGCCAGUAUUUAUUUGCCUCUCUAGGUCCUGGAAUCUUGACAUUUUAAGGUGGGAGGCUACAGAAUGAACCUAAAAUAACUGAUGGAAUGAGUUAGUAUUUUAUCAAAAGCAUUGGCUGGAGAAUUCACCCAUCUGGCCUAAGCAAUCUGGCCUCCUAGACAACUGCAGAAAUAAAUAAAACCAAAUAAGAAAAUGAGAAUAACAACUGCUACUAUUUAUUGAGCUCCAUAUGCUGAGCACCAUGAUAAACAGUAUAUAUAUAUAUGUAUAUAUCUAAAAUCCAAACACCAUUCCUUUGCAUUUCUUCACUGAAAAGAAAAUUUUCAUUCUUUGAGAGAGUGAUUUUUUU
rnacentral:lncRNA from 1 species